AUUGAACGCUGGCGGCAUGCUUUACACAUGCAAGUCGAACGGUAACAGGUUAAGCUGACGAGUGGCGAACGGGUGAGUAAUGCAUCGGAACGUGCCCGAUCGUGGGGGAUAACACUUCGAAAGAAGUGCUAAUACCGCAUACGAUCUGAGGAUGAAAGCGGGGGACCGUAAGGCCUCGCGCGAUCGGAGCGGCCGAUGUCAGAUUAGGUAGUUGGUGGGGUAAAGGCUCACCAAGCCGACGAUCUGUAGCUGGCCUGAGAGGACGACCAGCCAAACUGGGACUGAGACACGGCCCAGACUCCUACGGGAGGCAGCAGUGGGGAAUUUUGGACAAUGGGCGCAAGCCUGAUCCAGCAAUGCCGCGUGCAGGAAGAAGGCCUUCGGGUUGUAAACUGCUUUUGUACGGAGCGAAAAGGCUCCCUCUAAUACAGGGGGCUCAUGACGGUACCGUAAGAAUAAGCACCGGCUAACUACGUGCCAGCAGCCGCCGUAA
rnacentral:rRNA from 1 species